UACGGGGGGAGCAAGCGUUGUUCGGAUUUACUGGGCGUAAAGGGCGCGUAGGCGGCCACCGCAAGUCAAUUGUGAAAUCUCCGGGCUUAACUCGGAACGGCCAAGUGAAACUGUCAUGCUAGAGUGCAGAAGGGGCAAUCGGAAUUCUUGGUGUAGCGGUGAAAUGCGUAGAUAUCAAGAGGAACACCUGAGGUGAAGACGGGUUGCUGGGCUGACACUGACGCUGAGGCGCGAAGGCCAGGGGAGCAAACGGG
rnacentral:rRNA from 1 species